AACGCGGUAAAAUAUUCUAUUAAUUUAUUGAAAUUUGAUGAUAUACCAGCAUGAAAUUGCCGGAUCCGUGAAUUACAAUUCUGAUUUACGUGCAAUUAUAUAUUAGCGAUACGAUUUAUUAUUUGCAUAACUUAAAAAUUACCUACAAAAUAAUGGGAGGUGUAGAGAAAAAUGUUAAUGGGGCUAAAAUUCAUUCCUAAAAACCCAAAACUUAAAUUAACUUUUUCCACUUUUCAAACAUUAAAAUUGGCCAAUGUCUAAAAGACAAGUGGCGUUUAAUUUUAAAAAAUGCAAGCCCCAAAACUUAAAAAAUAAAUCAAAAACAAAAUGAUGAAUCUAUUUCAUCUGAUGCCUCUAUACUCUCUUGGAAACGCAAGUGAGGAUCAUCAAAGCAGCAGCUAGAUUACCACACAUUUCAUUUACAACUAUCAUAUUGUUGUACCAAUAUCACAGUGCCAUAGUCCAACCCAAGCAUGGCAUAAUCAGACCGAAACUUGCACACAAUGCAUAACGUAUGACAUACAUACUAACAUGAUAAUUACAUUACUAUGGUUUGAAUAAACUAAAUGAUAGCAAAUGACAUACAUAUAUACCAUUCUAUCAGACUUCAAUAGCUAAGCAUAUACAAUUGAAUAAAACAUAGAUAAUAAACCGGAAGAAGGAACAAUGGCUUAAAUGUAAGUAGAAGUUUACCGAAGCCGAGACCAAAAAGGAUACGUGACGAAAUUGAAGAGAAUGAAACUAUUU
rnacentral:lncRNA from 1 species